UGGGGAAUAUUGCGCAAUGGGCGAAAGCCUGACGCAGCGACGCCGCGUGAGGGAAGAAGGCCUUCGGGUCGUAAACCUCUGUCUAGAGGGAAGAAACCAUUGAGGUCGAACAGGCCUCUUUGCUGACGGUACCUCUGAAGGAAGCACCGGCUAACUCCGUGCCAGCAGCCGCGGUAAUACGGAGGGUGCGAGCGUUAAUCGGAAUCACUGGGCGUAAAGCGCUCGUAGGCUGUUUGGUAAGUCAGACGUGAAAUCCCGCGGCUUAACCGCGGAACUGCGUUUGAUACUGCCAGACUUGAGUGUCGGAGAGGGUGGCGGAAUUCCGGGUGUAGGAGUGAAAUCCGUAGAUAUCCGGAGGAACACCAGUGGCGAAGGCGGCCACCUGGACGACAACUGACGCUGAGGAGCGAAAGCGUGGGGAGCAAACA
rnacentral:rRNA from 1 species